GCACCGGUAGUGUACGGUACACCCGUUGAAUGAUUUAUUGCAAACGUUCAUAAGACGACGAGCGCGGGGUUCGACUCCCCGCCGGUGCA